rnacentral:rRNA from 1 species
GGGGAAUUUUCCGCAAUGGGCUAACGCCUGACGGAGCAAUGCCGCGUGGAGGAGGAAGGCCUGUGGGUCGUAAACUCCUUUUCUCAGAGAAGAAGAUCUGACGGUAUCUGAGGAAUAAGCAUCGGCUAACUCUGUGCCAGCAGCCGCGGUAAUACAGGGGAUGCAAGCGUUAUCCGGAAUUAUUGGGCGUAAAGCGUCCUGAGGUGGCUUACCCAGUCGACUGUGAAAGCUCAAGGCUCAACCUUGAAACGGCAGUCGAAACUUGUAAGCUUGAGUACGGUAGAGGCAGAGGGAAUUCCCGGAGGAGAGGUGAAAUUCGUAGAUAUCGGGAGGAAGGCCAAAGGCGAAAGCACUCUGCUGGGCCGAUUACUGAC